CCGUCUUAGGGGUUGGUUUGGCUUCUUGGUUCUCUGUUUUGGUGUUUAGACGAGGGAAGGAGGUCGCUUGGUUCUCGAAGCUAGUUCACUUCUUCGGUCUCAAAGAUUACUGGUUUAGCUUUUAGGCCAUAGCAUAACAAGGGAUAAGAGAUGAACUUCACAAGGAGACCAUGCAGCUUGCUAGUGAGUUCUUAUUCCAUUUAGUAUUAUGAUAAUGCUAUAAAAUUCACAGAUAUUAAAAUAUGCAUAGGGAGACAACUUCACAUUUAUAUGUUUUCAAUAAACAUGGAACAAUUUGGAUAAAGAACCACAAAUAAUGGAGCUAAGGAACCAGGUGAGAUUUUCUGAACCACUUGGCGGCAGCUAAGGAAAAACUAAACGAGCUCGAGAGACAGAAAGAAGAAACUCUAAAGUUCUACUCCCCUGCAUCGUUAUGCAUAGGCUUCAAGAUGCAAUGAAUGCAACAGAAGAGGAAUCGUAAAUAGUGAACAGGCAGCUUCUUUACGGGGAAAUAGAUAUCGUGGCCUUUGUGCAGAAGUACAAGAAGCUACGGACAAGUUACCACUGGCGAGCUCUCAUUCUUCUAGCUGCUAAAACAUCUCCGGUUGGAUGAAGAAAAC